rnacentral:lncRNA from 1 species
AAAGUUUUGGUGAUGAGACAUUCAGGAAGAUCUAUCAAUAAAUAGCAAACCUGGUCCUUUUUAAGACACUGUGCAUAAAAAAAUUCCAAAAAGAUUAAAAUCAGUGCAGAAACCAAAGAACCAUUUUUUUCUAUAUCAUAUUGAUCAUUUCAAGUGGAACUGUUAGCUAUCUUAGAAAAAUUGUGGUUCUCAAUUGCUUUUGCCUCUAUCUCUGAACCACCAUUCCUAAAGGAAAACAUUCAACCAGAAAAUUUCAGCACAUCACAAUCUCUCUGAAGAUUAAGAAGUCUCUGUGAAGGACUGAAUGUAUAAAUUGAAAAAUUUUUGCUGUCACAUUUAGGUAAAAGAGAAAUCGUUCUUCAUAUCCCCUUCCUUUCCAUCUGUAGCUCACCUAUGUCAACUUUCCUCUCAGAAGUGAAAUAAAAUUAAAGCUAUGACACUGAGUGUCAGUCAUGGAGGGACACGUUCCCCACUUAGCCUUUGCUGAAGUGUUUCCAGAGACAACUGUCUAAUGCCAGGUCCCCACUUAGUGGGCUGCACUUUUCUACUCAUUUGCACAUAAUCCAGAAGUCACAUUUUGGGUUCACAGUUUCCACUGGGGUAACCUCAUUAGGCCUGGCCACCUCUGUGCUUCUUGUGAAGUCUCUGAUUUGAAGGAUUAGUAUCCUUUCCAGACUGUGUGGGUUGACUUUCACCCAUCUGGAGUUGCUUGGAACAAAAAUAACUACCUCAACUCCUUGUCACGAAAGCAAAAAAAAAAGAUAGCAUUAGAGUUCUGAGAACAGGAUGUCAUUACGGGUUGUGCCUUGUCAGCUACAGGUAAGAUAUUUGAGUGGCUCCUCAAGCCUCCCCAACUCCCUCUCCGACCUCACUACACAGUCUUCCCAGGUCUGGUAUUUGACCUCCAGACUGCCGCCCAGAAAGCAACUCAGAGCUCAGCAACACCAUGAUGAUGAAACACAAAUAUCUGGGCCCCCAACUUUGGAGACUCCACUGGUUGCUUUUGUGCAGCUCUUUCUAUAUAUGACUUUCAAAAUAGCAGCCAACCCUCUCAACUGUUGGUUGAUCUGAAUAUGUAAAGUUCAGCCUUCAAAUCCAGCAAACAGUCAGCUAUAGGAUAGAGUUCAGGUGCUGGGGAAUGACCACGGUUGGCUGCUACGUUGGGAACCCUGGUGACAUCAUAUAUGGACCUGGGAAUGUAAAGAAACAUAGGAAAUCUGAAUUUAUGACUUUUCUAAUCUAUCGGGAUCCUUUUUUGGAAUCAAGAUGAUUUUCCUUCUAAAAGGUCAUUUUAUUACAGUAAUGGGCAGGGUAGACAUACCUCACUAGCAUACUCUCAAAAUUUCUUGCAUGCAUAUGCUUUCUCCGGCAUGCAUAUGCUUUCUACUACAAUGUGAACAAGCCUACGAAAGCUAGCCUAAUGGAGGAUGAGAGACCACGUGGAGGAGAGCUGAAGUGCCCCAGCCAGCAGCUAGCCUACACCCACAGCUAUUUUGCCUGUGUUCCACUUGUCCUAUUUGCAUAAUAUUGUUCUUUAAGUUAACCCAUUCUUAAUUUAUUGUUUUAAUCUUAAGCAAUAAUAUUCAAGAACUAAUGAGUUUUGUGUAUUCGUUAUAUUUUUCCAUAAUAUAUAUUAUACUAAUAAAUGCCCAUUCAAAUUUU